rnacentral:rRNA from 1 species
UACGUAGGGUGCAAGCGUUGUCCGGAAUUAUUGGGCGUAAAGCGCGCGCAGGCGGUUUCUUAAGUCUGAUGUGAAAGCCCACGGCUCAACCGUGGAGGGUCAUUGGAAACUGGGGGACUUGAGUGCAGGAGAGAAGAGUGGAAUUCCACGUGUAGCGGUGAAAUGCGUAGAGAUGUGGAGGAACACCAGUGGCGAAGGCGACUCUUUGGCCUGUAACUGACGCUGAGGCGCGAAAGCGUGGGGAGCAAACAGG